rnacentral:lncRNA from 1 species
CGGUGUGUCGGAGGCUUUGGAAGCAGCUCAGAGGGUGGGGAUGAGAAUCAUUCCAGGAGUUGAAAUCAGUACCAUGUUUCAGCAUGGGUAAUACUUUACCUUUUCUUGGAAUACAAUGCAAAGAAAUAGUUAUUCAAAUGGAUUUUUUGUUGCUGUUAGUGAUAAGUCUGGAUCAGAGGAGCCAGUCCACAUUCUAGCAUACUAUAGUGGUUGUGGACCUUCGCAAUCCGAUCGACUGGAGAAAUGCUUAUCCGAUAUCAGAGAUGGGCGAUAUCACCGUGCAAAAUCCAUGCUCAAAAAGCUAAACAACCUUAAAAUGCCUCUAGAAUGGGAGAAUGUGGUUAAAAUAGCAGGUGAUGGUGUUGCUCCUGGGAGGGUACAUGUUGCUCGAGCUAUGGUCAAUGCAGGUUAUGUAGAAAAUCUCAAGGAAGCUUUUGACCGUUACCUGCAUGAUGAUGGACCUGCAUAUGCCAAAGGGUCUGAACCGCCGACAGAAGAGACAGUGAAGUUGAUUCAACAAACUGGUGGUGUUGCAGUGUUGGCUC